UUCCUACGGAGCUGCAGGAGACACACUCUGAACUCUGUCUUUACUUCAGCUGCAGUAUCUACUCCGUACUCUUUAACCUGAACAAGAACAGGAACCAUUACAACCUAAACAUGGACAGCAAUUUUGGUGUGGUUUGCUGCAAGAAGCCAUCUGACAAAGACUGUCAGCAGAAAGCAGCAGAAAGACUGUCACAGCACCUGCACCAAAAAUAGCCAGCAAAUACUACCAUGCCUGGCCAAAGAUGUCUUGAAUAUUUUGCACUGUCUGCUUUUCCUCUUCGGUGUUAUCUGCCCAGCCGGAUACCACCAGGAACACAUGGGGUCCAGG